rnacentral:rRNA from 1 species
UACGUAGGGUGCGAGCGUUGUCCGGAAUUAUUGGGCGUAAAGCGUGCGCAGGCGGUGAUGUAAGACAGAUGUGAAAUCCCCGGGCUCAACCUGGGAACUGCAUUUGUGACUGCAUCGCUGGAGUACGGCAGAGGGGGAUGGAAUUCCGCGUGUAGCAGUGAAAUGCGUAGAUAUGCGGAGGAACACCGAUGGCGAAGGCAAUCCCCUGGGCCUGUACUGACGCUCAUGCACGAAAGCGUGGGGAGCAAACAGG